AAUGAUGUUAUUUACUCUUUGACGGCAAACUUCUCAGCCACGAUUGGUGAGUACUAUCACCGAGCAACGAUUGAUGAUAUGGGCAAUUUCCAACAAUAUGUUUACCAUAAAUCAAACGGUAGUGGAUGGAUAAGUGUGUGGAAGGCUAUCCAUGAACCUUGCUUUGUUAAUGCUGUAUGCGGUGUCAAUGGCAUGUGUUCUUCUCCGGAUAAUGAAACAGUGACCUGUAAUUGCAUACCAGGUUACAUUCCAUUGGAUCCUAAUCACGUUUCAAAAGGGUGUCACCCUGAAACUGUGGUGAAUUAUUGUGCAGACCCUUCAAUGAGAAAUUUCACAAUUGCGGUGAUUGAUGAUGCUGACUUCCCAUUCGAGGGUUUUGCAGAUCUGGAUAGAGUAUUGAAUGUUGAUGUGGAGGGAUGCAAAGUGGCUCUCAUGGAUGAUUGCUAUAGCAUUGCUGCUUCCUUGGUUGAUUCUAGAUGCAAUAAGAAAAGAAUGCCUCUGCUAAAUGCAAGAAAAAGUACUUCUACCAAGGGAAUCACUGCAUUUGUCAAGGUGCCACUGAAAAGCAGCAAUCCUGGCACUCGGGAAGGUGAGAAGAAAAAUCAUUUUAACUUUCGAGCUUUUCUGGAGAUUAGUCUUAUUGUUAGUGCCACUCUUGCUUUCGUGUUCGGAGCCACAGCCAUCUACUAUCAUCCAGCUACUAGAAAAUUUGUCAGAAGGAGGCACUCUUCUAAUACUACUAUAGGAGUCAACUUUCGAGAAUUCAAAUACGUGGAGCUGCAUGAGGCAACAAAUGGGUUUAGUAAGACCCUGGGAAGAGGAUCCUCUGGUAAAGUUUACAGUGGGGUUCUAAGCUUAAAGAAUGUGCGGAUCGAUGUUGCAGUAAAGAAGCUGGAG
rnacentral:misc_RNA from 1 species